GCCUGUUUAUCAAAAACAUCGCUCCUUGAAAUUACUAUAUAAGGAGUCGGACCUGCCCGGUGAAUAUUCAACGGCCGCGGUACUCUGACCGUGCAAAGGUAGCAUAAUAAUUUGCCUUAUAAUUGAAGGCUAGUAUGAAUGGUUUGACGAGAAUAAAGCUGUCUCUUUACAACUUAAUAGAAAUUUAUUUACAGAUGAAAAAGUCUGUGUAAUAUUAAAAGACAAGAAGACCCUAUCGAGCUUAAAAAAAAUUAGUAGACUUUAAUACUAAUUAAAGGCAAAAAAGUUAUUCUACUAAGAGUUUUAGUUGGGGCGACUGAGGAACAGAUAAAGCUUCCUUAUUUAAACUUAAAACUUAUGAGUUAUGAUCCAGACCAAAAAUUCUGAUUAAUAAAAUUAGUUACCGUAGGGAUAACAGCAUUAUCUUUUUUGAGAGCUCUUAUCGAAAAAAAGGUUUGUGACCUCGAUGUUGGACCAGAAUAUCCUGAAGAUGCAGCAGUCUUCAAGGGUUGGUCUGUUCGACCAUUAAUAUUCUACGUGAUCUGAGUUCA
rnacentral:rRNA from 1 species